AUUGAACGCUGGCGGCACGCCUAACACAUGCAAGUCGAGCGGUAACAUGGUUAGUAGCAAUACUAACUGAUGACGAGCGGCGGACGGGUGAGUAACACGUAGGAACGUGCCCAGAAGUGGGGGACAACAAAGGGAAACUUUGGCUAAUACCGCAUAAAAUCGAGAGAUCAAAGCUGCCGCAAGGGGGCGUUAUUGGAGAGGGCGGCGUCGGAUAGCUAGUUGGUGAGGUAAUAGCUUACCAAGGCGAGGAUGAGUAACUGGUUUGAGAGGACGACCAGUCACACUGGGACUGAGACACGGCCCAGACUCCUACGGGAGGCAGCAGUGGGGAAUCUUGGACAAUGGGGGCAACCCUGAUCCAGCGAUGCCGCGUGAGUGAAGAAGGCCUUCGGGUCGUAAAGCUCUUUAGGCUGGGAAGAAGGUUGGUAGUUUAAGAGACGAUCAGCUUGACUGUACCAGCAGAAUAAGCACCGGCAAACUCUGUGCCAGCAGCCGCCGUAA
rnacentral:rRNA from 1 species